AUGAACCGCACGGUAUGGUGCGUCGUCAAUGAUGCAUCUUGCUUAGGCAGGACCGCAAGGACGGCGAAAAUGGUGUUGAGGAAUCUUGCGAGCCGCGCGCUGGGGGAGGACGGCUUGCGGAAGUCCCUGAGCUUGGCGCGGAAGGAGGAGCUCGCCUCGUCCGACGAAGAGGCGAUGACGACGGGGUCGCUAGGAUCUCCCUGCAGCGGGGCGGCGGCAAAUCAUAGGCGCGCCGGAGCCCACGAGCCGGAGCGGCGGUCGAGGGCGGCGACGGCGCCCGAAGCGCCGUUCCACGUGGCUGCUCAAGCCUACGGCCAUCUUGGGCUGCGGAGAGGCGGUGCCGUGGGCGCGCUCCAUCCUCGUUCACCGCGGAGCGCAUCGGCACAGGAGGAAAAACAAGGCGGGUUGUGGCUUGAAUCGACAAACUUGGUUGCGGGCAUCUGCAUGAGCCACUCCACCGACGGAGGAGGGGGUCGAGGCGAAGCCCAGGGGGCUGCCGGAGGCGCGAGGGCGGCCUCGUGCACCAUGGGGCGCUUGGGCCAGCCACCAGCCAGCCAGGGGUCAAGCCCCACGUUCACUGGCGGUCCGCGUGCACUACAUGCAGCGGCGGCCGAGGCCACAUCCAAGGGCGUGGUGAGCACCGCUGGGGCGCGUCCAGCCGAGCAGUGGCCACCACAGGCUCCAGUCUAG
rnacentral:rRNA from 1 species